UUGAAAGGUUUUAAUUAGUAUACUGUUAGAUGCAGCACAGAUCUAAAAUGAUGUCUAGUCGUUUUUCAUGUAAUUUGAUCAAGACCUUUUUGUUUUGGAUAAAAUGCAAUGAAGACUGUGUGGGGAAAACAGCCAAAGUAUUUUAAAAAUCUUAUGGGGCCUCCAUUCUGACUAAGUACUAAACUAAAUCAGAAUUUCCAACUAUCAUUCUUCGUGUAUUAGGAAGAAAAAGAUCUAAAUCAUUUAUCAAACCUUUAAAAUACAAAGAGAAAUGGAAAAAUUAACAAUUGCUUCACCCCAGGAUUUUAAGAGACUGGAUUCCAUGUGUAGAUUGUUUCUAAAAGUAAAUCCUAUCCCCUCAAAAGAUACCAUAAAAUAAACUAUUUUAAAAUACC
rnacentral:lncRNA from 1 species